GCCCCGGGACGCGGCCCCUGCGCGUGGGGAGCCUCAGCCCGUGCGAAAUUCGUCGCUCUUCUUCGGCCCCGCGCCCACGGCUUGGUUUGGGCUGUUGCUGGGGUUUUCCUGGAGAUGUGCCUCAGCGCUUUCGCGGGUGGCUUUGGGCUGAGCGAGCUGCGAGCAGGGCCUGCCUCGGCCUCCGGACCCGCAGGGGCUCUCAGGGAACAAAGUUUGUCAUCCUGAGACACCAGACCUUUGACGAAGCGCAGGUAACCUAUGACAGUGCGUGCGGCGCUAACAAAGAGUCCCUGUCAGCCUUUGUAGAAGACUUUGAGACUUCAGUCAGCGUUGACUUUCCAGAAGAUGAGGAGCGUGUUGGUGAAGUGCUAGGCUGUGGUUCCUCGGAUCUCUCAGUUCGUGGAGGAACAGAAGAAGCUCGGCGUGGAGAUGAAAAGAUGACAGAAGCAGCAGAAUCCCAGAAGUUGCGAUCACACAGGCAGAUGAGGCAUCCUGUGCUAAUGUAUGAUGUCAGUGUUCCCUGCACUGCCCAUUUUACCAGCAGAACAUCGGCGGAUGUGUGCUGGAAGCUGGCUGCUCUGCUCCAGGACGGCUGCACAAGGCAUGGAGGGAUGGGGAGCCCUUGCUGCUGAGUUCCAAGCUCUCUGCAAGAUUAUUUGCAGGAGUGAGGAGAAGGAGACAAGCAGUCCAGAACAUUAUCAGUCAGUUGGAGCCUGGUUAAGUACUUCAUCAUAAUUCGUCUUGAACAGCGUUAAAAAUUACAUGCCAUAAUUGAAGGAGAGGUGAUUUGCAGUGUAGUAGCCUGUUUGGCCUUUCCUGGUCAUUUUUCCCUGUUCUGCUGAAUUUUGUGCAACCCGAAUGCUACCCAUUGGCACUGGGACAGGGAGAGCCACCCAUGCAGACCCAGAUGCUGUAGUCCUGCUUUUCUAAGACGGCACUCGACUGGGCAGUGAAGCACGGCAAUCUUGAGAUGGCAGAGAUGGUCGCCAAAGCAGGCGUCGAUGUCAAUGCUAAAUCGAGAGCGGAUACACAGAAAGACACAAAACAGGGAACCGGUCCCAGCACAACCUCCUUGUUUUUCAAACCACUGCGUGGGCACCUUCGUGGCCGGAUGGUGCAGCCCUGUGCCGGCACAGCCCCCUCCUUUUCCCUGGGAAGAUUUUUGCUCUCCUACUCUCACCACUGAAAUAAAUGCCAGUCGGGCUCAUUUGCUUAGCACAGGAGGUCCUGCGUGGAGGUGGAAGGAGCGAUGCACGGAGCAGUCAUCUCAUUUCCAGCCCAUGAUUUGAGGCCUUGGCUCAGGAGCGCUGCCACCUCCGUGCCACUGAGAUGUCACACUCACAAUCUUCCCACUCCCAAGUCAACCUGGGUGCCUAUGAGCUGAAAUCCAGACCAUGAGAGAGUACUCCAGGGGAAGUGCUGGAUACCCCGAGCAUGAAAAGCAAAGAACCAACAGCCUCACAUUCUCACGGAACCCUCCUACUGCGCCAGCAAACUGCACACAGAAAACACCCUCUGGCUCAUUUGGCUGCCUCCCACUGCAGUGCCAACCCCCUGGCAUGAACUUCAAGGAUCCCUGCAGAAAGCUCUUGUGCUGAACAGCACAGCACAGCUGACUUUCAAGGAGCGCUCAGCAUCAGCUUAUCGCUCAGGACAACACCAGUGCACACAGUCACGUGUCAGCAGGGCAGGCAUCUGUUCAUAAGUUUCGUGUCCGUGUGCGCACCAACAAGCCAUCAUGAGGUCCCAUCACUGCGUUUGCCUGCCUUUGUGGAGACUGCAAAGGUUUUGCGUAAGUUCAAAUAUUUCUGUGCCAAAAAAAAGUCAUUUUUCACACAUUCUGAUUUUAAAUAUGACUGUAAAUGUUCUAAGCCUCUUUGUAUGUUUAAACAUUUUUAGUGAGUUAAAAACCAAACAAACUGUAUCCGUUACACUUCUGCAGUUAGGUCGUGUAACUUGAUUGCCUGACAAAGUAUCAGCAGUAUGAGGUCCUUUAUGGGUCACAGCUGAGCUGGAUUUUACGCCUAAGAAUUUCCCCAUUUUGGACCAAAGUAAAAAAAAUUCUUUUUCUGGGCAGCACCCAUGAACCCAAGUCUGGAAAAAAGUGAAAUGCCUGGCUGUCCCUUCAGACAAAGCAGAAGGAAAGUAAAAUCACAUCCCUGUUCUUUGCGCGUGGGGCCACCCGUCCUGCCCCAUGAGCAGGGUGAAGGAGCGAGACCCCCAGCAGCAGCCAGGGAGUGUCAAGGAGCCCGUCCCUGGGGACAUGGGGACAGUGCUUGUCCCCAUGGGGCUCAGAGCAGAAGGGCCUCACAGAAAACAGCCCAGCUCCAGGGCAGCCCCCAAACUGCUCUGCAGCCCCCAAAUGCCACAGUGCUGUGGACGGGUGAGGGAACUGUUGGCGUGCCACCGCCUGCUCGCUGUGUGGUCCUGCCCAGGGAGACAUCCCGGUGGCUGCCAGGAAUGAGGGGAACUGGCGUGUUUUUGUUUUGUUUCCUUUUAA